CUUUCCACUGGUGGUAUAAUGAGCAGACGCUAAUGAGGGGGGGAAAGGGGAAGACCGUGGGGGGCGGCUGCUGAUGGAAUUGGCCAUGACCUCCAGAAAGGCAUUUUUGUAAAACUUGGAACUGCUUAGUCAAGGUCAACAAGGACAAGACUUCAAAGGCUGGUAAAGCAAGGAAGGAACCCGGGCCCCUGGAUGGCAUCUUGGAACAGAUUUGCCUCUGUCCGUGGACCACCUACCCACCUUCACACUAUUGUACAGGAGAGAAGUUUCAAAUAUUUUGGAGGCCCCUAAAAGGUGUAUAGGCUGUAGGCACUGGGCAUAGAGUGCCUAAUGCAUGCCGUAGACCAGAAUGUGUGAGGGACAAGGAUGCCCCCCGCCCCCGCUCCCACCUUGCCGACACAGAGCCCUUGGCACAAGACAGCAGACACUGAGCACUUCUCACGGCCCCGGGACCCUAGUCAUACUCUGUCCGUGUGCCCUGCCCCCAUCCUUCCUGGCCCCCCAGUUUCUGCCAUUGGGCUUUUGGGGCUGUUUUUGCCACAUGCAAGAGAACUAGGUCCUGGGAGUUUAUGCCCUUUCUACCUGGCUCUUAGCCAGCAACCAACUGGAAAGGAAUACAAAGGCCCAAGCCUUUUACCACCAGUUGGGAAAGGCUCUGAGGUGUGGUUUCUACUCCAGAGCCUCCUUCCCCCAUCAGGCGGUUCAGGAGGAGGCUGGGAUUUGCCUGAGGUCACACAUUGCUUGCCUUCUUUCCCUUCCCUGUCCUGCUCCCCUCCCCUGCUCCCCUGGGAUCCUUUUAUCCCAUUCUUCUGGGAACAUAUUCUCAAUAAAUCCCUUGCACAUGGA